rnacentral:snRNA from 1 species
GUGCUCGCUUCAACAGCACAUAUACUAAAAUUGAAAUGAUACAGAGAAGAUUAGCAUGGCCCCUGUACAAGGAUGACACAAAAAUUCAUGAAGCUUUUCAUAUUUUU